AAUCUACCUCUGAAUGGGGAAUAACUGAGAGAAAUCUUAGCUAAUACCGCAUAAUACCUACGGGUCAAAGCAGCAAUGCGUUUGGAGAGGAGUUCGCGGCAGAUUAGCUAGUUGGCGGGGUAAUGGCCCACCAAGGCGAUGAUCUGUAUCCGGCCUGAGAGGGCGCACGGACACACUGGAACUGAAACACGGUCCAGACUCCUACGGGAGGCAGCAGUGGGGAAUUUUGCGCAAUGGGGGAAACCCUGACGCAGCAACGCCGCGUGGAG
rnacentral:rRNA from 1 species